rnacentral:rRNA from 1 species
AUUGAACGCUGGCGGAAUGCUUUACACAUGCAAGUCGAACGGCAGCACGGGGGCAACCCUGGUGGCGAGUGGCGAACGGGUGAGUAAUACAUCGGAACGUGCCCAGUCGUGGGGGAUAACGUAGCGAAAGCUACGCUAAUACCGCAUACGAUCUACGGAUGAAAGCGGGGGAUCGCAAGACCUCGCGCGAUUGGAGCGGCCGAUGGCAGAUUAGGUAGUUGGUGGGGUAAAGGCUCACCAAGCCUUCGAUCUGUAGCUGGUCUGAGAGGACGACCAGCCACACUGGGACUGAGACACGGCCCAGACUCCUACGGGAGGCAGCAGUGGGGGAAUUUUGGACAAUGGGCGCAAGCCUGAUCCAGCCAUGCCGCGUGAGUGAAGAAGGCCU